UCUUUGUUUGUAUGUGGUAUUGAGGAUCGAACCCCGGCGGCACGCAUGCCAGGCGAGCGUGCUACUGCUUGAGCCACAUCCCAGCCCUGGUUAUUUUCUUAAAAUGAAAAAUUAAAAGGCUAAGUCAUGUAGUGUUCUGUUGUUAAUUUUUCUACCUCAUGCAUUGAGGUAGAAACUUUAUAAAAUAAUUUAUUGGGAGUAUACUUCAGUUUUUAUCCAGGAUUAUGCAAUUUGGCUUGAUACCAAACCAUUCCUUAUACCCUGGAAAUAAGAAUCAUGAAGACCUUAUUCUGUGGUAACAUAAAAUCCUAGAAAUUCCAAAGGUUGGGUAAAAAUUUAAAAACAAGUUUUUAUCUUUCAGAGACUCCAAGUGACUUCAAGUUGGUUAGUUUUGGCUACAUUUUUAAGAGCUCCAAAUCACAGUGUGUGAAUGAGGUAGUUUUGUUUUUUUCUCACAAGGUGGCCACCCAGUUGGGGACUGGUUGCUGGUUCUGCUGUAGGAAGUGUCAGAGCCUGGGGCUUCUCCCUCCUAAACUCUCAUGAUCCAAAUAAGAACCAACAGGAGCAAGCCAGCUUCCUAAGGAAGGGAUUUACCACUGAGCUAUAUCCUCAGUCCUUUUUAUGUUUUGUUUCAAGAAGGAUCUUGCUAAGUUGCUGAGAGUCUCCCUAAAUUUCUGAGGCUGGCCUUGAAUCUGUGAUCCUCCUGUCUCAGCCUUCCAAAUUGCUGGUAUUACAUGUAUGUGCCAUCGUGCCUGGCUUCAAAUAUAUUUUAAAGACACUUUCUCCUGAGUAUUUCCUAUUAGGUAUUUAAACUGUGCUGCCGUAUAUUCUUAAACCAUUCAAUGGAAUGCAUUAUACGAGUUACUUUACCUUUUUUAAACUGUAUGUAAUAAUACAGUGACUGUGAAACACAAUGUUAUGUAAAAUAAACUCUAAAGUCUCUUUCAAUUAUAAAACCUUUUAUCCUCUAAGAUUCUUUUGCUUUUGUGGUACAUGAGGAUCAAACCAAGACCUCAUGCAUGCUAGGCAAGCACUCUACUAUUGAGCUAAACUCAGGUGCAGUACCUUAAGGAUAAAGAUGUUGCCUUGAGCUAAGGAGAACUGCUUUGACCUCAACUGUUUCCAUAGAAAUGAAUUUCCUUAAAUGUAAACACAUCCUGUGUUCUGUGUCCUGGUAUGAAGUGUGAAAAUAAACGCAAGAGAUACCAUUUUGUAUGCCGUGGCCCUAGGUUAGGUUAUUGCCUUAUUUGUGAAGGAGGGUUUUCUUUAAUGAUGCAGUUUACAGUUGUAAUUUUGCAGGGGCUGAUACUGCUUCUACAGGAAGAAUUCUUCAUGGGAAGUGGAGGAGGAAGUUAGUCACCUAAAGACACUCCUGUACCAUAGGCAAUAACCUUCCAGUUUCAGGAUAUACUCUGGAGGGUCCUUGGGUUUCCCUCCCCACCCCUGCAAGUAGAAUGACUAAGCUACCCUGACAACAGUCUGAAGGAAAAAGACACUUAGCACAAGGCUUGCUUAAUUGUGGUUGUCUUGGGUGGCCUACAGGUGAAAGGAAAUGGGGAUAGAAUGAUAAAGGAAGAAUAAAAACAGGAAACAGAUGUCUGUGAUGUAUAAUGCUCAGCUGGUACUUGUUUGGUGAGCAUGGGCUUAGUCACAAACAGCUGUAUCCUGGUCUUAAUAUAAUUGUGUAGAUCAUUCUCAGCCCAAACAGGCAUGUGUCACAAAAAUCCGUCUAUUCUGUUAAACAAAGAUAAUCCUUAAAUCACUGUAUAGCAGGGAGACUCAGGUUUAUUUUAACUGCAACAAUGCUGUGCUCUAAGGUACUGGUAUACUGAGCCCCUUAAACAAUUUAUGAGGAUCUCAUAGGAUUCCAGAUGGAAGCUUUAUCUUAGGGUUCACAUCCCUUGAAAAUCUAACUAUAAAAGCAGGAGGGCUGGGCUGGGGAUGUGGCUCGAGCAGUAGUGCGCUCGCCUGGCAUGCGUGCAUGCGGCCCGGGUUCAAUCCUCAGCACCACAUGAAAACAAAGAUGUUGUGUCUGCCAAAUACUAAAAAAUAAAUAUUAAAAUUCUCUCUCUCUCUCUCACUCUCUCUUUAAAAAAAAAAAGCAGGAGGGCUUCAGUCCCAAUUUUAGUUCUUUUCUGGUAUGUAGCUUCAACUGUUUUCAGUGUACAUGUUUUUGAAGUCCAAAACACCUUGAGUUAAUGAUUUAAAAGAUUUCUAAACUUCUUAGACAAAUAAUUGCUAUGGGUUUUCCAUUUAUUGAGUUUCUGGAUUUUCUUUUCUUUUUCAAUAUAAAGUUACCCUCUAUUCUUUAAACAAUGGAGCUCUGCUAUAGUAGGGAAAAUGUCAGAUAAGUAUGGGGUCACUUAAUUUAGUCUAUCAGAGAAUUAAAUGUGCUCUCUGGCAUUAGUAUAAAUUCCAGAAUGGCUGUUAACUUUCUUUCUCCUUAAGAUUUUAACAUAAGAUUUUUCUUAAGGAAAAAGGAAAUAACAUUUAUAGAAUGGCUCCAAUUAUAGAAUUAUAGAAGAUGUACUCGAUGUCAGACUGGCUUUACAAAUAUUGGCUACUUUUGAUCCUCUUAAUUACUGUAUGUGGUAAGAUAAAUUAUUAUCCAUUUUUUCAGAUAGUAAAACUGAGGCACAGAGAGAUUAAAUAAUGUGAAGGUCACACAGCUAGUACUGGCAUUGAGCCCAAGUAAACUACUCCAAGUGCCUCUGCAAAUUCAGGUGUGGUGAUACCAGAGGCUGUGCUACUUGAACCAAGCUGUAUCUCUUCAGCAAGGCAUCCAGAGACAACCAUUCUGAGUUGAAGUUUUGCCUUUUCCAGAAUCCCUAUAGAUUGAACCAUGUGGUUUUAUAGCAUUUCCAGUCUGACCUUCUUCACUUAGCAUGAUGUAUUUGUGAGAUGCAUCCAUAUAGUUAUUGACAGGUAGUUCAUUCCUUUUAAUUGCAGAGUGGUGGUCUCUUGUGAAUGUAUUGUGUUUGUUCACCUAUUUAAAUUCAGGUUGCUUCCAGUUCUUAGUGAUUCUUUAUUUAUUUAUUUAUUUUUUUGGUUUCGGGGAUUGAAUCCAGGGGCACAUAACCACUGAGGCACAUCCUCAGCCUUUGUGUAUUUUACUUAGAGACAGAGUCUCACUGAGUUGCUUAGGGCCUCCCUAAGAUGAUGAGGCUGGCUUUGAACUCCUGCCUCAGCCUCCUAGCUGCUGGGAUUACAGCUGUAUACCACCGCUGUAUACCACCACACUUGGCUUUAGUGAUACUUAAUAAAGAUACUGUAAUUAUAAAUAAUUUCCUUCCUACCUAUGUUAUUGUGCAUAAAAAUAAUGUGCUUUCUUUUUGCUUAUGAAUCUAUGUUCCACCACAUAAUUUAUUUAUUCAUUCCCUUGUUGAUAGACAAUUAAAUUGUUUACAGUGUUUGUGUCUUAAAAGAACCUGCUGUGAACAUUUUUGUGUAGUAAGUCUUUGUAUGGACAUCAUAUUUUCCUUUCUCAUGGAUAAAUGAGUGGGAUAAAGGAGUGGGAUGUCUGGAUCAUAUUUACACCAAACUGUAUUCUUUCUAAAGUGGUUGUACCAUUUUACAUUGCCACUAACAGCAUGAGACCCAGUUUCUCCACCUUUUUCCCAGCAUAUGUGGGCCAUCUUUUUCAAUUUCAGCAAGAUUAGUUAGCUUCUUAUAGUUUCAAUUUGCAUGUUCUUAAUGACACAAAUGAUCCUUUUUGUGUGCUUAUUUGACAUUUAUAUAUAUAUCUUCUUUAAUGAAGAACUAUUUUUGCCAUUUAAAAUCUGUAUUAUUUUAUUGAUGUUUGAGUAUAUUUUUAAUAUGUAAUGCAUAUUAUUAGGUACAUAUUUUGCAAAUAGUUUCUGCCUGUCCGGGGUUUUUGUUUUUAUUUUCUUGACACUGCAAGACUCUUAAUUAAUUAAUUAAUUAAUUAAUGGUUAUUUUUAGUUACACAUGACAAUAAAAUUUAUUUUGAUAUAAUUUUAAUGAAGUCCAAUUUAUCAUUUUUUUCUUUUAUGAAUGAUGGUUUUGGUGUCAUAUCUAAGAUAUUAUCACCUAACCCAAAGCCACAAAGAUUUUCUCCUCUUUUUCUUUUGAAAGUUUUCUUAGUUUCUGAUUUUACAUUUAGGCCUAUGAUGCUUUUCAAGUUAGUUUUGGUUUAGGGUGUGAGGGAGGUAUGGGUCAACAUCAUUAAUUCUUUUCAUUUACAUAAGUAUGUCCUAUUAUUUCAACAUCAUUUGUUGAAAAGACAUUUUCUUUGCACCUUUGGCUAAAAUCGACUAACCAGACAUGUGUGAGUCUUCUCUUUUAUUCCAUUUUCCUGUUCCAAAUAUUUUUUUGUUCCAUUGACUUAUCUACCCUUUUGUCAAUAUUGUACUGUCUUGAUUAUGGAGCUUUAGACUAGGUCUGUAGAUCAGGUAGUGUGAGUCCUCCAACGAUGGUCUUUUCAGAAUUGUUUUGGGUGGUCUAGUUCCUUUCAUUUCCUUUAAAAAUUUCAGAAUUAGCUUGUUACUUUCCAUGAAAAAUGGCCUGCUCAGGGAUUUUUAUUGUAAUUGUGUUGAAUCCUGUAGAAUUAUUUGGGGAGAUUUGACAGCUUCACAAUAUUGAAUCUUGCAAGUAUGUAUGUGGUGUAUCUCUCCUUUUAUUUUGGUCUUUGAUAUUUUCUUGAUGUUUUGUUAUUUUUUGGUAUAUAGAUCCUGAACAUGUUUUAUUAUAUUUGUACACCUUUCUUUUGUUGUCUAAUUGUGCUAGAUAGGACAUCCAGUAUGAUGACAAAUAGUAAUGAGAGCAUGCUUCCAGAUUUUAGGAAAAACUGUUUUACAUUGUUAAAUAUAAUAUUAGCUAUAAAUUA